rnacentral:rRNA from 1 species
CUUCGGGUUAGUGGCGGACGGGUGAGUAACGCGUGAGAAUCUGCCCUCAGGAGGGGGAUAACGGCUGGAAACGGCCGCUAAUACCCCAUAUGCCGAGAGGUGAAAUGAAUUUCGCCUGAGGAUGAGCUCGCGUCUGAUUAGCUAGUUGGUGUGGUAAAGGCUCACCAAGGCUUCGAUCAGUAGCUGGUCUGAGAGGAUGAUCAGCCACACUGGGACUGAGACACGGCCCAGACUCCUACGGGAGGCAGCAGUGGGGAAUUUUCCGCAAUGGGCGCAAGCCUGACGGAGCAACGCCGCGUGAGGGAUGAAGGCCUCUGGGCUGUAAACCUCUUUUAUCAAGGAAGAAGAUCUGACGGUACUUGAUGAAUAAGCCACGGCUAAUUCCGUGCCAGCAGCCGCGGUAAUACGGGAGUGGCAAGCGUUAUCCGGAAUUAUUGGGCGUAAAGCGUCCGCAGGCGGUUUUACAAGUCUGUCGUUAAAACGUGGAGCUCAACUCCGUUUCGGCGAUGGAAACU